rnacentral:lncRNA from 1 species
ACUGAAGAAACCCGCCGGCUGCUGGGGCAGGGCGGCGAAAGGUCAGUCGGCCGAGAGGAGUCCGUGGAGCCACCGUUUCAUAGCCUCAGGGAAAGGAUCGGGCGUGCUCACGAGCCCUCUAACCCAUGGCUUAAACACCCGCUUCCUAAGCCUGGGUAAGUGCAGUAGCUCUUCGCUCGAGAGGAGCCACGUGGAAGAGAGUCGGGAGGGGCCCUGCGCCCUACUCCUCCUCUCCAGAAACAGGGAGGGCUGGGAAGGAUUUUCCUGAUUUGUCCCCGGAUUUGGCCGAGUGCACAGAUUUUAAUUCCAGUCUUCUCAUCCUCCUGUAGUUCAACUAGGUGUCUUCCUGGUGAAGCGUGAGAUUGGCAAACCCAGCAGUGAGUGUGCUUCUGAUUUCCCAACAAGGCAAUGACUCCUUGGGUUUGUCCCCAAGACCUUAUGCCUGGAGUGCCCCAAGGAUGUUUCAGUCACCCUCAGUGUCAGGAAUCCCAGACCUUCCUGUACCUAAAGAAGUGACCUUUAAUAGUGCUCAGGGAUUUCAGACCUCUCAAGUGUUUCUGCCGGGGGAAUUCUUAUAAAGCUGUUGGUUACAUGUAAUUAGAAAUAGGGAAGAUUUGUUUUGACUGAAAAUGCUCUUCCCAAGGUGACCUCAUCCAAGUUAAAAAAGACAGCUGUCAUUGCUUUUCUUAGCAGGCAGUGUUGGUUACUCAGAAUUUUCCUGUUGCCUCCCCGACAAUGCCCAACUCCGCUUCCUUGAACCUUGGCUUUUUUUCAUUCCCAGGUUCCAUCCACCUUUUUGCACUUCCUAUCUAUAAACUCUUCGUGGCUGUGUUUUAUCCCCUCUCAUUACGUUGAUCUAUUCCUCACACCACAUACACACCCCAAAAAACUCAAAAUGGAUCGUAGAUGUAAAUGGAAAACCUAAACCUAUACCAGAAGAAAACAUAGGAGGAAAUAUUCGUGACCUUAUUUAGGCAAAUAUUUCUUAAACCAAAAGCGUGAUGAAAAAAAUUGAUAAAUUGGACUUCAACAAAGUAAAAAUUUAUGCUCUUCAAAAGACUUGAAGCCACAUACUGAAAAUAUUUACAAAGCAUGUAUCUGAUGAAGGACUUGUAUGGAGAAUAUAUAAGGAGCACUCAGAAAGCAAUAAUAAAACAGUUCGUUGUUUAAAAAUGGGCAAAAGAUUUGAAUAGACACCAAAGAAGAUACACAAAUAGCAAAUAA